GUGGGCACGCAGUGGCGCCCCAGGCUCCGCCGACGCGAGCCGCCCGCCGCGACCGGGGGACGUCGGGCAUCCCCGGGAAGUGGAGCCGGGGCGGGGGCCCGGGCGGGGGCGGGCCAAUUUCUGGGCCCGCUGCUUGGAGGAGCCCUUCUAGCUAAGAUGCGACGGAGGGGGGAUCGUGCGACCAGUGCCGAGCCCCGGCUCCCUGGGGACACGGCCUGAGGGCGGGGCCCCCCAGCGCCGAGCUGGGGAAGCGCCCAGCCCGCGCCUGGGCUGUAGCGGGGAGAGGCGGCGGAGGCGGCAGAAGUUCGGGUGCCACAGUCUGGCCCGAUCGGCUACUGGGAAGUCCCACAGGGGAACAUCGGCCAGGGGAUCGCCAGCUCUGCGGCAGAAAUGACCACCUUUCCAAGAUGGCGACUCCCGUAGAGACACUCCCAAGGGGACAGCCAUGUUAGUUGCUUGACUAAGUCACUAAAGAAAAUUUGAAAGCCCGCCUCUCCUCCGACACACACACACACGCUCGCACUAACACACCGGUUUCUUGGUGCCUCUGCGGAGUCCCUGGGCCAGACCCCAUAGUGAAGGCUGCAGGAUCUUCCUUCUGGCCCCAGCAGCUCUGGCUGAGUCCACAGGUGCCCGCCUGGCUUCAAGCUUCUGGGAAGAGCGGAGUUGUCAACAAGAGAGCCGGAGGGCUGAGGCCCGGUGGGAACAUGCCAGCUAACCGGAGCUCUCCCCAGUGGUCCUCAGCCCUGGCUGCAGAGAAACAUGGCAGCUUGUGUAAGAUGAAUAAAAUGCCCUGAGAAGGGACAUGACUUGCCCUGCCACCCAGAUCGUGAGUGACAGCAUUGGAGUGGAACCAGGUCUUCUGAAUGUGUCCCCCACCCUCACCACACUACAGCCAAGACCAAGUUUCCCACUGAAAAUUCCCCUCGAGAUUCUGUAAACAGAGGAAGACGAUGAGAGAGCCAGACCCUGCCCGACAGCUCCCUCCUUCUGACCUUCCUGUGGAUGCUGUCACCUCUGGCGACAGGCUGAUUGUCACAAGGACUCAGGGCCAUGUGGUCAUUAACAUAAUAUUACACUUUUAAAAAUUAUUUUGAUUUUUUUUAAAGAUUUUAUUUUUUUCCUUUUUCUCCCGGAAGUCCCCCAGCACAUAGUUGUAUAUUCU
rnacentral:lncRNA from 1 species